GGCUCAGGACGAACGCUGGCGGCGUGCCUAAUACAUGCAAGUCGAACGAACUGUGGAAAGCUUGCUUUCAGAGUUAGUGGCGAACGGGUGAGUAACACGUAAGUAACCUAGCUAUUAGACGAGGAUAACUACUGGAAACGGUAGCUAAGACUGGAUAUGAUAGAAAUAUUUAAAGGAUGCUAAGGCAUCGCUAAUAGAGGGGCUUGCGGCGCAUUAGCUAGUUGGUAGGGUAAAAGCCAACCAAGGCGAUGAUGCGUAGCCGACCUGAGAGGGUGACCGGCCACACUGGGACUGAGACACGGCCCAGACUCCUACGGGAGGCAGCAGUAGGGAAUCUUCGGCAAUGGACGAAAGUCUGACCGAGCAACGCCGCCGUGAGUGAAGAAAGUUUUCGGAUUGUAAAGCUCUGUUAUUAGGGAAGAAAGGCUCUAGGAGGAAAUGCUUAGGGAUUGACGGUACCUAAUGAGGAAGCCACGGCUAACUACGUGCCAGCCGCCGC
rnacentral:rRNA from 1 species